AGGACGAACGCUGGCGGCGUGCUUAACACAUGCAAGUCGAGCGGAAAGGCCCUUCGGGGUACUCGAGCGGCGAACGGGUGAGUAACACGUGAGCAACCUGCCCUUGGCUCUGGGAUAGCCUCCGGAAACGGGGAUUAAUACCGGACAUUCACUUUCUCCUGCAUGGGGGUUGGUGGAAAGUUUUUCGGCCAGGGAGGGGCUCGCGGCCUAUCAGCUUGUUGGCGGGGUAACGGCCCACCAAGGCGACGACGGGUAGCCGGCCUGAGAGGGCGAUCGGCCACACUGGGACUGAGACACGGCCCAGACUCCUACGGGAGGCAGCAGUGGGGAAUAUUGCACAAUGGGCGCAAGCCUGAUGCAGCGACGCCGCGUGGGGGAUGAAGGCCUUCGGGUUGUAAACCCCUUUCACCAGGAGCGAAUUCAGACGGUACCUGGGGAAGAAGCGCCGGCUAACUACGUGCCAGCAGCCGC
rnacentral:rRNA from 1 species